rnacentral:rRNA from 1 species
CAGCCGCCGCGGUAAUACGUAGGGGGCAAGCGUUAUCCGGAUUCAUUGGGCGUAAAGCGCUCGUAGGCGGUCUGUUAGGUCGGGAGUUAAAUCCGGAGGCUCAACCUCCGUUCGCUCCCGAUACCGGCAGACUUGAGUUUGGUAGGGGAAGGUGGAAUUCCUAGUGUAGCGGUGGAAUGCGCAGAUAUUAGGAAGAACACCAGUGGCGAAGGCGGCCUUCUGGGCCAUAACUGACGCUGAGGAGCGAAAGCUAGGGGAGCAAACAGGAUUAGAUACCCCAGUAGUCCCUGUCUCUUAUACA